rnacentral:rRNA from 1 species
AGGGUUUGAUCAUGGCUCAGAUUGAACGCUGGCGGUAUGCUUAACACAUGCAAGUCGAACGGAAACGAUGGUAGCUUGCUACCAGGCGUCGAGUGGCGGACGGGUGAGUAACGCGUAGGAAUCUACCUGAUAGUGGGGGAUAGCCCAGAGAAAUCUGGAUUAAUACCGCAUAAUCUCUAUGGAGUAAAGUGGGGGAUCUUCGGACCUCACGCUAUCAGAUGAGCCUGCGUAAGAUUAGCUAGUUGGUGAGGUAAAAGCUCACCAAGGCGACGAUCUUUAGCUGGUCUGAGAGGAUGAUCAGCCACACUGGGACUGAGACACGGCCCAGACUCCUACGGGAGGCAGCAGUGUGGAAUAUUGGACAAUGGGCGCAAGCCUGAUCCAGCAAUACCGCGUGUGUGAAGAAGGCCUGAGGGUUGUAAAGCACUUUCAAUUGUGAAGAAAAGCUUAGUGUUAAUAGCACUAAGCCUUGACGUUA